AGCUGGCAACAAGCUUUGAUCCGGUAAUGUCCGAAUGGGGAAACCCACCCGCUUGCGGGUAUCCUGCAGUGAAUACAUAGCUGCUGGAAGCGAACCUGGUGAACUGAAAUAUCUAAGUAACCAGAGGAAAAGAAAUCAACCGAGAUUCCGUAAGUAGCGACGAGCGAACGCGGACUAGCCCUUAAGCUGAUUUGGUUCUAGGAAAAUGCUCUGGAAAGAGCAGCCAUAGAAGGUGAUAGCCCUGUAUCUGAAAGGGCCAUUUCAGUGAAGACGAGUAGGGCGGGGCACGUGAAACCCUGUCUGAACAUGGGGGGACCAUCCUCCAAGGCUAAAUACUACUGACCGACCGAUAGUGAACCAGUACCGUGAGGGAAAGGCGAAAAGAACCCCGGAGAGGGGAGUGAAAUAGAACCUGAAACCGUGUGCGUACAAGCAGUAGGAGCUCCGCAAGGAGUGACUGCGUACCUUUUGUAUAAUGGGUCAGCGACUUACUGUUCGUGGCAAGCUUAACCGUAUAGGGGAGGCGAAGGGAAACCGAGUCUGAUAAGGGCGCAUAGUCGCGGGCAGUAGACCCGAAACCGGGUGAUCUAGUCAUGCCCAGGGUGAAGGUGCGGUAACACGCACUGGAGGCCCGAACCCACUCCCGUUGCAAAGGUAGGGGAUGAGGUGUGAUUAGGAGUGAAAAGCUAAUCGAACCCGGAGAUAGCUGGUUCUCCUCGAAAGCUAUUUAGGUAGCGCCUCAUAUGUAUCCUCUCGGGGGUAGAGCACUGUUAUGGCUAGGGGGUCAUCGCGACUUACCAAACCAUUGCAAACUCCGAAUACCGAGACGGACUGUAUGGGAGACACACGGCGGGUGCUAACGUCCGUCGUGAAAAGGGAAACAACCCAGACCCACAGCUAAGGUCCCAAAUUUGCUAAGUGGAAAACCAUGUGGAAAGGCACAGACAGCCAGGAGGUUGGCUUAGAAGCAGCCACCCUUUAAAGAAAGCGUAAUAGCUCACUGGUCGAGUCGGUCUGCGGGGAAGAUUUAACGGGGCUAAGCAGUGAACCGAAGCUUGGGGUGCAUAACUUUGUUAUGCGCGGUAGAGGAGCGUUCCGUAAGCCGUUGAAGGUGGAUUGAGAAGUCUGCUGGAGGUAUCGGAAGUGCGAAUGCUGACAUGAGUAACGAUAAUGCGGGUGAAAAACCCGCACGCCGAAAGCCCAAGGUUUCCUUGCGCAACGUUAAUCGGCGCAGGGUGAGUCGGCCCCUAAGGCGAGGACGAAAGUCGUAGUCGAUGGGAAGCAGGUUAAUAUUCCUGCACCUCGCGUAAGUGCGAUGGAGGGACGGAGAAGGUUAGGUGUACCAGGCGUUGGUUGUCCUGGGGAAAGGCGGUAGGUUUGGAUCUUUGGCAAAUCCGGGAUCCUUUAAGACCGAGCACCGAGACGAGCCUUUAUGGCGAAGUCACUGAUACCACGCUUCCAGGAAAAGCUCCUAAGCUUCAGCUUACGCAGACCGUACCGUAAACCGACACAGGUGGGUAGGAUGAGAAUUCUCAGGCGCUUGAGAGAACUCGGGUGAAGGAACUAGGCAACAUGGCACCGUAACUUCGGGAGAAGGUGCACCCUUUUUGGUGGCUCGUGCGAGCUAUAGCUGAAGAGGGUCGCAGUAACCAGGCCGCUGCGACUGUUUAUCAAAAACACAGCACUCUGCAAACACGAAAGUGGACGUAUAGGGUGUGACGCCUGCCCGGUGCUGGAAGGUUAAUUGAUGGGGUCAGCCGCAAGGCGAAGCUCUUGAUCGAAGCCCCAGUAAACGGCGGCCGUAACUAUAACGGUCCUAAGGUAGCGAAAUUCCUUGUCGGGUAAGUUCCGACCUGCACGAAUGGCGUAACGACAGCGGCGCUGUCUCCACCCGAGACUCAGUGAAAUUGAAAUCGCUGUGAAGAUGCAGCGUUCCCGUGGCAAGACGGAAAGACCCCGUGAACCUUUACUAUAGCUUUACACUGAACGUUGAGUUCGUCUGUGUAGGAUAGGUGGGAGGCUAUGAAACCAUGGCGCUAGCUGUGGCGGAGCCAUCCUUGAAAUACCACCCUGUCGUGCUUGACGUUCUAACCUGGGCCCAUUAUCUGGGUCGGGGACCGUGUAUGGUGGGUAGUUUGACUGGGGCGGUCUCCUCCUAAAGAGUAACGGAGGAGCUCGAAGGUACGCUCAGCGCGGUCGGACAUCGCGCACUGUGUGCAAAGGCAUAAGCGUGCUUGACUGCAAGAUCGACGGAUCAAGCAGGUAGGAAACUAGGAC
rnacentral:rRNA from 1 species